rnacentral:rRNA from 1 species
UACGUAGGGGGCAAGCGUUGUUCGGAAUUACUGGGCGUAAAGGGCGCGUAGGCGGCAUGGCACGUCAGGAGUGAAAGGCCUGGGCUCAACCGAGGAACUGCUUUUGAUACUGCCAAGCUAGAGUGCGGAAGGGGCAACUGGAAUUCCCAGUGUAGCGGUGAAAUGCGUAGAUAUUGGGAAGAACACCUGAGGCGAAGGCGGGUUGCUGGGCCGACACUGACGCUGAGGCGCGAAAGCCAGGGGAGCGAACGGG